AUUCAGCUGACGAGUCUCAAAUAGGACGAAGUGACGCCCAUCCUAGAU
rfam:Schistosoma haematobium scaffold66_16, whole genome shotgun sequence.